GCCCUCGUGGAUGAAAGUACAUCACCCGUUCAGUAUCAUCGUUUCACGUCUUGAGUAGAUGCAAAUGGGCAGUGGGGGUUCGAGUCCCCCCGAGGGCA